GUUUCACUUCAAUAAAGUUCCAUAUUAAUGGAUACUAGUGGUUCCCGGAUGGCGCCAGCAUACCGACCUUUCUGUGAGGCGUAAAGCAGCAGCUGGGUGUACAGGUGGCGUUGCAGGCAGCGCCGGGCCGCCACCUAUACAUGCGAUGGUAAGUGGUCACUGAGGUUCGUGAAAUCAACGCGAAUUCCGUGACCCACCUUGAGGACAUGAGGUCGAUUUCUCAAAUCCGAAUCCAUACUUCAGAAUAUACUUAAUAAAGAAGGCUGUAACGUCGGAGAAGAGUUAUAAUAAUACAUCUCUUUGAUAUCAUAA